rnacentral:lncRNA from 1 species
UUAGAGUACACAAGACAAGCCCAAGACAAUACCAACAAGCCCAUUUCUAUGUUAUAAACCCAUGUGUGUUAGGGUUCCUUUGCAAGUGAGUUAGUAGUAUAAAUAGGAUUGUAAUGUGUUGUGACAAAGCAACUUUGCUGCCGUGAAAGGCAGCCUCACUUCUCCUUAAUGAAAUAUCAAUUUAAGUUUUUGUGUUCUUGGUGACAAAGCUAAAGCUUCUUCUCUUCUUUACUUUCUUGUUCAAUAAAGCUUUAAUAAGCUAUCUUCAUUUCUGUUUAAAUAAAGCUCUUUGAGCUCAAUCUUUCUAGUUUCUUAAACACUUACAUGGUAUCAGAGCUUCAGUCGGUUCAUGGAACUUCUGGGUUUUUAAUCUCUUGAGCUCACCACAGCUUUCUCCUCACGUGAAGCUACCGUUUCUCUCUCUUCACAGACCAUCAAUCACGGCAUACAAAGCAUCUUCUCAACUGGUUCUGCUUCUCACCACAACCGUUGGAUUUGGAGCCAAGUCUAAACCUCCAGAUUUCAGCCUUUAUUCAUGAAGCCAUCAUGCUUCUCACGUGAAAAAAAAAAAAUCAAGGUAAUUUCCUUGCUCUAAGACAGAACAGAACUUAGAGAACUGUCGUUAAGUUAUAGUUUGAUAGGAUAAUGCUGGUUUGGUUUAGUGGUCUGGAAUUCAGAAGCUGUGAUGAAUUAUGUUGUCGUUUGGGUUAGUUUUAGAUCAAGUUUCUGCUGAUUUUCAAGAGUAUGAUGAGUGCACACAAGUUGUUCGAUAGAAUGCCAAACGAAAAGCAGAAGGUCAUAUGCAGAGUCUAGUUAGUUAUGGAUGGAAGAUAGAUAGUGGGAAAGAUCAAAGUUGUUGUGGGAAGGUCCAUUUUUGUUAUCAGACAAGUUUGAUGAGUUACACGGGUCAGAAAAGAACCCGGACUCUUUGUGAGAAAGAAAGGUCACAUUGUACCUCUGAGUGAGAUCGACUAAGCUCUCCAAGUUCAAGAGAAACCUCUGAGUGAAGCCAUGCGAUACUCUCCAAGUAUAGACCAACAAUCUCUUCUAUGUGAUGAAUUGAAGAUUACACCUAUAGCUUCAUGUGAUCAUGCUUCCACUACUUAUUCCACCAAGCCAUCUGCAUUUGAGGUUCAAACUCAGCAUCUUGCUUUCAUCCGACGCUAAGUUUGCGGGGGAGUAUUAGAGUACACAAGACAAGCCCAAGACAAUACCAACAAGCCCAUUUCUAUGUUAUAAACCCAUGUGUGUUAGGGUUCCUUUGCAAGUGAGUUAGUAGUAUAAAUAGGAUUGUAAUGUGUUGUGACAAAGCAACUUUGCUGCCGUGAAAGGCAGCCUCACUUCUCCUUAAUGAAAUAUCAAUUUAAGUUUUUGUGUUCUUGGUGACAAAGCUAAAGCUUCUUCUCUUCUUUACUUUCUUGUUCAAUAAAGCUUUAAUAAGCUAUCUUCAUUUCUGUUUAAAUAAAGCUCUUUGAGCUCAAUCUUUCUAGUUUCUUAAACACUUACAGAACUGUUCUCGAAUCUUCACUAAUGUUAAUCAAUGAACUUGAUGUUUUCAUUCCAACAGCAUAUGAAGCCUUCUUUAAACACAUAUUGUAGUUUGCU